rnacentral:rRNA from 1 species
GUCUACAGCCAUUCUGCCCUGAACAAGCCUGACACUGUCUGAUCUCAGAAGCUAAGCAGGGUUGGGCCUGGACAGUACUUGGAUGGGAAACCACCGAGGAAGGCCAGGUGCUGUAGGGU